CAAGUUCAAGCAUAUAUUCAGCUGAACUGCAGUAGGUGCAGCCCCAGAACUGUAGCAGGUGGAAUCCCCUAUUGUAGUGAAGCAAAAUUCCAUGCAUCGACAGUCUGCUCAGCAUGCAUAGAUGUCAGCUGGAGCGAAAGAUGCAGAUGCUGGCCAGGUGAAAGCAGAAGCCCAACAGCAACAACAAAAUUCAUCUAAUGAUUUGAACAUUGAACCUGCUACUAAUUUUGGAGUAAAUAAGAGUCUCAUGAACGAGAUUUCAAAAUAUAGUGUGGAUGGUCUUGUUUUGAUAAGUACUGUUAAGAUAAAGCUAUGGAAGCAGAAGCUACUUUCUUUCUUGCAAGGUGCAUCUAUUUUACAUUUUUUCCCAACUCAGAUGUGAUUUUUUCUGUGCAUCCUCAAACUGACAGUGGUGUUCCUUAUAAAGGAACCCUUGUAAAACAGGGUUCCUAUUAUAUGGAUUACAUUUUUUCCCAACUCUGAUGUGAUGUUAUAUUAUAAAGGAAGAAGAAGAAGAUGAGUGUGGAUCUAGUCCCUUCUUUGAACUCCCAUAGCCAGCUUGAUGGGCAGAUUUCUCAGCUCAUGUAGUGCAAGCCCCUCUCCGAGCAAGAGGUAGAGACGGCAGAGACUGUAAUGUGCAUGAAUGAACCAGUUCUUAUGAAGAUUCCAUCAAAGAGCCAUCUUUAUGUACCGGUUUCUGCAUAUCUCGACCCAUCUCGACCCAAGUAUUUCAGAGGCAUCGGCUUGGAUAAUUCAACAAGUUCGUUAACAGUACUUAGAGUUGUCAAGCAUUUUAAGAUAUUUCAGGUAAUUACUUUAAUACGGGACUGUGUUACAUGAACUGCAUAUGCUUUCUUAUUACAAGUCUCUACUUGGGAUUUAUAUCUCUUGUUGGCUCAUAUUCUCCAUGUUCUUUCAUGAUCCUUUGUUAUGGAGCUUCAAUUUAAAAAUAAAAAAUAAAAAAUAUGCUGGUAAGAUCAAUUAGUGGUGACUUCAACUUGCCUGAAUGUCAAGCUUUUAUCUAAAAAAAAAAUUAAUUUACAUAGCACAAAAGUAGUUAAGAACUUCUUAGGUUGGAAGCAAUAUUUACAAUUUUCUUUUAGCUUUUAGCAUUUAGCAAGUUAGCAUGCACCAACAUUUACUCCAUGCUUUCAGUAGGUAUAUUGUAGUUCACCAAUCUGUUUCUUUUUAAUUGAGCGUCUUGACUUAGAUUGAUAUUUAUGUUCCAGGGAGCCUCCCAUGUAUAUUAGGAAGUUAAGCAUGUUCAUGCUUUUAAAGACAUCAUGUAAUAGAAACUCCCAUGUAUAUUCAGAUUUUUUUUCUUGGAAAGGCCAUAGUUCUAGUCAUUCAAACUUUGUGUUCAGGGACAUUCGUGUUUUUCCAUUGUAUGAUGACCAUCCCACCUAACAUACAAUCGUAUUUCUUACAUGGAUAUUUAUUUUUUCAUGCAAAAUAUUCUUUUUUUUCCUUGAUUGUUCCUUUGUGUCAACUCUAGUAUUUUGGAUAAGCUUUAGUUUUAAUUAUUGUUUCUAAACUUUGGUAUGAGUUUCGAUUUGAGCAUGUAGUUCAAUGGUAGAAAAUCUGCAUUACAACAUUGAAACCUAUGGUAGUCUAGCUCACCUGGAUUAAAUGGGAGCUACUAACAGAGGUCUUUAAACCAUGCAUUCUUUUCUUUCUUAUAACCAUGGCCCACUUAGAGAUUAGAUCAGGACAAUUGGCUAGGCUGGGCCAUUCAUCGUUGGUCGGAGCAUGGCCUGGCCAUUAAUUGAGCUCCACUAUUAAGAUGCUUUUUUUGAAAAUAAUGUUGGCUCGCUGAUCCAUAUCAAACUUGGAUGAGAAAAAAUAAUAAUAAAGAGAAGUCCAAUAGCCUACAUUCAACAAAUAUAUGUCAAAGAUAUGUGGCUUACUUAAUAAGAGUGCCACCUUAAAUUUUAGAAUAUAACAUGUUCAUAGUACUUGCAAGCUAAAAUGCUUAUUGUAUUGUGCAAAAACAGUUUCGUAUAGCCUACCUCAAUGUAUUUAUCCCAAACAACCAGCUCUAUGAUGAUACACGUUGAGUCUUCAUUCCAUCUAUACCCACUUUGAGUAGAUCUGUCAUUAUAUUGUAGUGUUUUUUCAAAGUUUUGAUUCAACAAGUUGAUUUAGAUAGCCACAUUGUGAAAAUCUUAGUGAUCGGAUGAUUCUAACCAUCUAAUCAUGGCCUAUAAAAGAUGGAUGGUUAAUAUUGUUUAUGGAAGUAGGUCCAGUCAAGAAUUUGAACCAUGAGUUCGGGGACCGUCACGGAUUGGUUGUAACAGUUCUAAGAAUCACUUUGAUUAGAUAAUCCUAACCAUCCCAUCCAUGGAUUGGUUGUAACUAGAGAUUUAAUUGGUAAUGUCUUGAUUUUAUUAGCGAUGAUUCUCGGCGCAUUUGAGGUGUUUGAUAAGAGAUUUUAUACAUGCAUCAUCAAGCCACUACAUAGCUUCCCUUGUGAAAAAUUCAGGCCAUCUGCUCAAGUCGACAUGCCAUACAUCUAUGUUAAUUGCUCACUGUCCAUUUCGUUUGCAUACAGUUGGCUCACCUGACUUACAUGUGUCCUGAUUCUUACACCAAGGCAUAAGUUGCAGGUGAUCUUGAUGAGUGGUAUCAAGAUCACCUGCAACUUUUGGUGUAGUGUAUAUAUAUAUAUUUUUCAUUUCAGGUGAUCUUGAUGAGUGGUAUCAGUAGCCAUGCUCUGGAGGAGCUGUGUUCUACGAUGACAGGAUACCCCAUCUUAAUAAUAUCCUUAGGUUUGCAAUUCUCAGGAAAGAAUGUUCCUUCAUGGCAAUUGGAGGCCCAUGGAAUGCAGCUCUAGAUAGUGGAGAUCCCUUGGUUGAUGAUUCCUCCUUGGUUCAGUCAGCUCUUAGACAUGUGAAAGAUUUAACCCAACUUGAUCUGUAAAAUUCCCAGCACUGGAAUCGGUUUCUUCAGGUAGUCUUGGCUCCUUUUGUACUUUCUUAGUUCAUGUUUUUGUGUUACAUGACUAUCAUGUG